rnacentral:rRNA from 1 species
AUUGAACGCUGGCGGCAGGCCUAACACAUGCAAGUCGAACGAGUGGCGGACGGGUGAGUAAUGUCUGGGAAACUGCCUGAUGGAGGGGGAUAACUACUGGAAACGGUAGCUAAUACCGCAUACCAUCAGAUGUGCCCAGAUGGGAUUAGCUAGUUGGUGGGGUAACGGCUCACCAAGGCGACGAUCCCUAGCUGGGCUGAGAGGAUGACAAGCCAAACUGGAACUGAGACACGGGCCAGACGCCUACGGGAGGCAGAAUUGGGGAAUAUUGCACAAUGGGCGAAACCUUGAUGAAGCCAGGCCGCGUGUAUGAAGAAGGCCUUCGGGUUGUAAAGUACUUUCAGCGGGGAGGCGUUACCCGCAGAAGAAGCACCGGCUAACUCCGUGCCAGCAGCCGCGGUAAUUC